rnacentral:rRNA from 1 species
UACGGAGGGUGCAAGCGUUAAUCGGAAUUACUGGGCGUAAAGCGUGCGCAGGCUGCUUGUUAAGUCUGUUGUGAAAUCCCCGAGCUCAACUUGGGAAUUGCAAUGGAUACUGGCAGGCUGGAGUAUGGUAGAGGAAGGUGGAAUUCCCGGUGUAGCAGUGAAAUGCGUAGAGAUCGGGAGGAACACCAGUGGCGAAGGCGGCCUUCUGGACCAAUACUGACGCUCAUGCACGAAAGCGUGGGGAGCAAACAGG